rnacentral:rRNA from 1 species
UACGUAGGGGGCAAGCGUUGUCCGGAUUUAUUGGGCGUAAAGAGCGUGUAGGCGGCCUUACAGGUCAGCUGUGAAAACUCGAGGCUCAACCUCGAGAUGUCGGCGGAAACCAUCUGGCUAGAGUCCGGAAGAGGAGAAUGGAAUUCCCGGUGUAGCGGUGAAAUGCGCAGAUAUCGGGAAGAACACCCGUGGCGAAGGCGGUUCUCUGGGACGGUACUGACGCUGAGACGCGAAAGCGUGGGGAGCGAACAGG